UGCUGUACAUGCUCACUCAUCGACACGGCUGGGGCACAAAGUGGAACCGUCACAAACGUUGGUCACACCUGUGCUUUUCUGCUUUGACAUGUCAAAAUGUCUGCUGUAGAAAUGGUUCAUGACGCACCUGAGUCACGCUGCGUCAGUCCUCGAUGUGCUGAAGGACGCCACAUUUUUGGUUUAUAAAGCGUCACGAGCAGCAACAAAGUGAGAAGAUAAGAAAGUCGAGGCAGAGAACUGCAGAGAAGCGGGAGAGAAAACAGAGGAGGCAGAUUUGAGCUCUGUUGAGCUUCAACCUGAAUCCAGCAGGGGGAACAUGUGCGACUGCAGAGCUGGAGGGGCGGUGGGGGGGGACUUGAUGGUG